rnacentral:lncRNA from 1 species
CUCUAUGGGGCAGCUAUGGGUCGCUAUGGGGUUGCUAUGGGGCGGCUAUGGGUCGCAAUGGGGCGGCUAUGGGGUCGCUGUGGGUCGCUAUGGGUCUCUAUGGGGUGGCUGUGGGGCAGCUAUGGGUCGCUGUGGGGUGCAAUGGGGUUGGCUAUAGGGCAGCUAUGGGGCGGCUGUGGGGUGCAAUGGGGUCGCUGUGGGUCGCUAUGGGGUGGCUGUGGGUCUCUAUGGGCCGGCUAUGGGGUCUCUAUGGGUCGCUAUGGGGUCUCUAUGGGGCGCUAUGGGUCGCUAUAGGGUGCAAUAGGGUCGCUAUGGGGCAGCUAUGGGUCGCAAUGGGGGGCUAUGGUGUAUCUAUGGGGUGGCUAUGGGGUCGCUGUGGGUCACUGUGGGGUGGCUCUGGGUCGCUAUGGGGCGGCAAUGGGUGUCUGUGGGGUGGCUAUGGGGUGCAAUGUGGUCGCUAUGGGUGGCUAUGGGGCUGCUGUGGGGUCUUUAUGGGUGGCUAUGGGGUGGCUAUGGGUCUCUAUGGGGUGCUGUGGGGUGGCUAUGGGUCUCUAUGGAGCGGUUAUGGGGUCGCUGUGGGGCGCUAUGGGGCAGCUAUGGGGCGCAAAUGGGGU